rnacentral:rRNA from 1 species
GACGAACGCUGGCGGCGCGCUUAACACAUGCAAGUCGAGCGGAAAGGCCCUUUCGGGGGUACUCGAGCGGCGAACGGGUGAGUAACACGUGAGUAAUCUGCCCUUGGCUUUGGGAUAACCACCGGAAACGGUGGCUAAUACCGGAUAUGACGCGCUCCGGCAUCGGGGUGUGUGGAAAGUCUCUUCGGCCAGGGAUGUGCUCGCGGCCUAUCAGCUUGUUGGUGGGUUAAUGGCCUACCAAGGCUUCGACGGGUAGCCGGCCUGAGAGGGUGGCCGGCCACACUGGGACUGAGACACGGCCCAGACUCCUACGGGAGGCAGCAGUGGGGAAUAUUGGACAAUGGGCGGAAGCCUGAUCCAGCAACGCCGCGUGAGGGAUGACGGCCUUCGGGUUGUAAACCUCUUUCAGUACCGACGAAGCGCCGAUGAUGGUGGUGACGGUAGGUACAGAAGAAGCACCGGCCAACUACGUGCCAGCCGCCGCCGUAA